UAAGGAAUAUUGGUCAAUGGACGCAAGUCUGAACCAGCCAUGCCGCGUGAAGGAUGAAGGUCCUCUGGAUUGUAAACUUCUUUUAUAUGGGAAGAAACCCACGGUUUCUACUGUGGUUGACGGUACCAUUUGAAUAAGCACCGGCUAACUCCGUGCCAGCAGCCGCGGUAAUACGGAGGGUGCAAGCGUUAUCCGGAUUCACUGGGUUUAAAGGGUGCGUAGGUGGGCAGGUAAGUCAGUGGUGAAAUCUCCGGGCUUAACCCGGAAACUGCCAUUGAUACUAUUUGUCUUGAAUAUCGUGGAGGUGAGCGGAAUAUGUCAUGUAGCGGUGAAAUGCUUAGAUAUGACAUAGAACACCCAUUGCGAAGGCAGCUCACUACACGAUUAUUGACGCUGAGGCACGAAAGCGUGGGGAGCAAACAGGAUUAGAUACCCCGGUAGUCC
rnacentral:rRNA from 1 species